rnacentral:tRNA from 1 species
GGAUUGUGGCUCAGAGGUAGAGUGCGUGCCUAACAUGCGUGAGGCAUUGGGUUCCAUCCCCAGCACCA